rnacentral:rRNA from 1 species
GACGAACGCUGGCGGCGUGCUUAACACAUGCAAGUCGAACGGAAAGGCCCUGCUUUUGUGGGGUGCUCGAGUGGCGAACGGGUGAGUAACACGUGUGUAUCCUGCACUUGACUUUGGGAUAACUUCAGGAAACUGGGGCUAAUAUCGGAUAGGAGCUCUUGAUGCAUGGUGGGGGUUGGAGAGUGUCGGCGGUUGGAGCUGGUCUCGCGGGUUAUGAGCUGGUUGGUGAGGUAGUUGCUUUCCAAGGUUUCGACGGGUAGCCUGCAUGAGAGGGUGAACGGCGACAAUGGGACUGAGGGACGGCGCAGACUGCAACGGGAGGCAGCAGGGGAAAAGAUUACAGAGUGGGCGGAAGCCUGAGGCAAAAACGCCGGGAGCGGGAAACCGGCCUUCGGGUUGUAAACAGAUUUGGACGGUGACGAAGCGUGAGUGACGGUAAUGGGUAAAGAAGCACCGGCUAACUACGUG